GCGCCCGUAGCUCAGCUGGAUAGAGUACUUGGCUACGAACCAAGGGGUCAGGGGUUCGAAUCCCUUCGGGCGCACCA
rnacentral:tRNA from 4 species